GGAAUAUAAGAAUCCGUCUCUUAAUUUUUAACUAAAAAGUUAAUAACCGGCUCUUAAAACUCUUAUUUAAGAACCAGUUCUUAGCUUUUUUAGUUAAAAGUUAAGAGACGGGUUCUUAUAUUCC
rnacentral:pre_miRNA from 1 species